AUGGGGAUGUGGGGAGAAGGGAGGAGGGAAGGAAGAGCCAGCUUGCACAGUGAAAACCACUCAUUCUCUCCCCCACACAGGGGAGCCCCACUGAAAGCAGCGCUCAUUCAAGAAGAGGAGGAUGGCUCAUUGCUCGAUCCAGGCAUGCAGCAGCAAUGACCUUGGCUAGGUACCCAUCUCCUGAAUACAAAGAUGGAUAUAAAAGCAGCAAUCCCCUUUUAAAAAAACACCCAGUCUUCUGCUAAGCUCCAGUCUGACCCUUUGCUGUGUGUGACUUGCUGGGCACCUGGUUUCAAUCAACUCUGCCAGCACCUGCCAGUCUGGGGAGAGACCAUUCCUGUUAAAAUAAACACCUGGGAGACACCAGGGAAAUGCCAGAGCAGCUUGGGCAGAGCUCUCAGGUAACUGCUGUCCUGGGCAUUAAGCUACAGCUCUUGCUGCUCCACUUGGGUGGGAAAGAAGAAACUGAUAUGGCUUUUUCCAGCUCUGGUUUUCAGAAGACUGAACCAACUACAGCUCCCAAUAAGGCUGCCAUGACAUAAACCUUCUGGGUUUUA